rnacentral:lncRNA from 1 species
AGCCCCUGUAUUCCUCAAAAUAAUAGUAGGCUCUGUGUGUGUUUUAUAGAAUUCACUAACACCAAAUGAAGCUUCCCAUAAUUCAUUGUUAUUGUUAUCUAAUGUAGUUUAGUCUUGAACGGAUUGUUACCAUUCUGGAUAAACAUCUGAAGUGGUUUGAAGCAUCUAUCUAGAGGUAUCUUAUCAUCCCAAUGCAACCAUUCCCAACCU